CCAUGGCGGUUGAGGAGGAGGAGGAGGAUGAUGAGGUAGCCAACACUGUUUUUAUAUAUAUAUAUAAUAAUUGGGGUAGCCCACAAAAUAUUGGGACAUAUAAAAAAAGACAACUCUGUUCCGCAGAGUAGCUGUUGACAUUAUAGUUGCGCAGGCACUUUGUGGACUCUAGAGAACCUCGGGCCAAUCGCACAUCCCCGUGACGGCGACUUUGCAUGCGGAUGUCAUCCAUAUCAACUUUCGAUGCCAGUUUCUGCGCCUACCAUGGUGACCAUGGGUAAUGGGGAAUCAGGGUUCCAUUCCGUACAGGGACCCUGAGAAACGGCUACCACAUGCAAGGAAGGCAGCAGG